UACAGAGGGUGCAAGCGUUAAUCGGAAUUACUGGGCGUAAAGCGUGCGUAGACGGUUGCGUAAGUCAGAUGUGAAAGCCCCGGGCUCAACCUGGGAAUUGCAUUUGAGACUGCGUAGCUAGGGUGCGGAAGAGGGAAGCGGAAUUUCCGGUGUAGCGGUGAAAUGCGUAGAUAUCUGGAGGAACACCGGUGGCGAAGGCGGCAUCCUGGACCGAAACUGACGCUGAGGCGCGAAAGCCAGGGGAGCAAACGGG
rnacentral:rRNA from 1 species